UACGUAGGGUGCAAGCGUUAAUCGGAAUUACUGGGCGUAAAGCGUGCGCAGGCGGUUCGCUAAGACAGAUGUGAAAUCCCCGGGCUUAACCCUGGGAACUGCAUUUGUGACUGGCGGGCUAGAGUAUGGCAGAGGGGGGGUAGAAUUCCGACGUGUAGCAGUGAAAUGCGUAGAGAUGUGGAGGAAUACCGAUGGCGAAGGCAGCCCCCUGGGCCAAUACUGACGCUCAUGCACGAAAGCGUGGGGAGCAA
rnacentral:rRNA from 1 species